AUUCAUUACGAUGUGAAUUGCGAAUGAUUAGCCUUGUCACGUGGCGAGGACUAUAAACCGGUCACUGUUAACUAACUGUUGACACUGUUGGCACCUUCAAAUUGUGUUCUCUUUUUUUCGUACCUAGCACUUGCGAAAUUCCCAUACGACUUAAUGAAAGACAUUAAUCAGGUCGUCGCGAAUUGAGGAGUUCAAUAAUAGCAAUUUGUUCAACGCACGCUAAAUAUAAUAUAGAACCCCGAGUAUUUCCAAAGCAGUUGGUCUCGCAUUUACGCUUGUUUCACAAUAUAAUGUGUGGCUGCGUUUGUGACUGUUUUACUGACUAGCUGAGCUCAAAGCAAAUCUGACUGACAGCAGUUCAAAGUGGAGAGAAAGAAUAGCUAAGGAACGCGGGAUCAGACGUGUCUGAGAGGCUGCGCACUGGCGUUCGGCGCCUUUUAAAAUAUCCGAGAAUAUUGAGACGUGGGGCAAAUGCAGGUUAUAGUCGCUUCUCGCUUCUCUCAUCAAGGUGGCGCGCUGUAUUCAAGCUCCUGUGUUCUUGGUAAAACAAUUGUAUUAACCUUUUCCGUUCGUGAAGGUCUGAAGAGUUUUAAACUUCAGGAGAAGAAAUAAACAUUCCAUGGCUCCUACACCUUCGGCCAGUGUUCCAUGCGAGGAAGAAGGGGAUAUAUCUGAGCAGGCAGAGACUGGCGACGUCACUACGCGACAAGCAAGAAUAUUGGAUGUCGUGACACAUUUGAGUGCACGUGCCGCCAGAAAUGCUUCACUCCAAUAUUAUAACAUGAAGGAGGGAGUUAACGUAACGGAAGACGCACAGGGACGUAUUCCUCGAGCCUUUUACGACGAGGGAAUAAUUUCUGCAGACAACUAUCUAUAUCCAAAUGGGAUUUGGGCUUCCGGUAACAUGACCAACUUCUCGUCGGCAGGAGAAACCGAUCACGGCGAUCAAAUAUCUCCAUCUAUGUCGCGUUUGCACGAGUUCCAGAUCAUCAAAGCUGUCGUAUUAGCUGCCGUUACAGUGGUUAUUCUUAUCUCAAUAUGCAAGAUGGUGUUUCAGUUAUUUGUGCGGUAUACAGUGAAACACGACAAAUAAAGUGUGUUUAAUGCGGUGUCAGCUUAGGGCAAUGUGUUUGGCGCCUCUUCUGAGGGCAGUCUACCAAUAUGUAUUCAGGCUCAUUUGUUUUGGUAAUGAAACUUGUUUAAGGAACAUGGCUGUAUAUGGAGGUAGUUUACGUUUCAGGGUAAUAGGGCCUAACUGUCGAUACUCUUCACGCGUUGUGUUAGCAUAAACAACGCCUUUUGGGAACACUGUUUAUCUCGCGAUUUUCAAUUUCUGAACGAUGGUUUAAUUCUCUGACUACGUGUCGAUAAAUUGAUAACCUGGCUGUUGCAAAAUUAAAACUGCAACUUUAUCUGUUUAUUUUCAUAAAAUUUUACGAUUUUUAGUGAAAUUUUUAGUUCGUUACAUUUUCGACAAAUCUAAGAGCAGUUAUAAAAAAGAUGUCACUAAGAUGGAGCUUCUCUUUGAGAAGCUGUAUAAAAUUGUAACUGAACGUAAAUAAAACCAUGUUGACUCCAGGUUUCCACCCUCCGACUCUCUAAUUUUCCUAGCGUAAUUACAAUAAGCUGUAAUUUCCGAGCUAUUCGGACUGGUUGCAAUGAACAUCAGAUUGUCAUUUACGGACUUGAAAUCGUAAAUGUUCUGGAAUUUAGUUUUUGAUGAUAAUGUACAUUUUAAUGUUUAUUUAAAUUGCUGUUGUUAAUGUUUAUGUACUUAUCUAUAAUUAAAGAUUUCUGUCUUCUGGGUUGUUGCGCUGUGUAGUCUGGUCGAUGUUUACCAACGUUUCAGAGGUCAUACUACCUCCGUCAUCAGGGCGUUGGUAAACAUCUACCAGACUACACGGCGCAACAACCCUGAAGACAGAAAUCUUCAUACUCACCGCUGUGAAAACCUCAAAUCAUACAUUAUCUAUAAUUCUUUGCAUUACAUUAAAGUUUCUUUGAUUAUAUUCCCCUAGUAUUUAUUAUCUGCGGCCCACUGGAAACGUUUGUGUGUGAUUAAUGUCAAGCUCGUUAAAGCUUCAUAAGAUUACAAACAUUACAAGGAUAUUUGUCUCAUGAAAGACUGACUUUGAAUUCGAAUUGUUUUCCAAUCUGUGUUAUCUUUUUUGUCUUCAUAAUGGCUUAGGCCAACUUUACACAAGUAGCAGAGGUUUGAUGGUAUCAUUAUAUAGUUUUGGAUAGUAUCUCUUCAAGUAACACUCCAGGUGUAGUGAAAUUCUUUUAACUUUGUCUUCAGUGUUUCAUAACAUGGCAGUUCAUCGAACUCUUUUGUUAUUCAGCGUUGGAAAGCAAAUUCUAUCUCCGCGUUGAAUAUCAUUAUGUAGACAUCUCUUACGCAGACAUUUGCUUAAUAGAUCAACAUUUCUUUGGUUUGCUGCAGACGUUCUGUUAUAAUUGGCUGUAUGCCUGCAACUACUUAGUGGCCUAACACGUUCGUCUUCCUCCCACACGAAGUAUUUUUUGCAGUCAACAUCGUUAAGUUUCAUUGUUCAAUUCCAUACGCAACCAGAUAUAUUUAUUUUCUGAAAGAGAUGUAUUUUUAAAGCACGGUGGAAGGAAAAACUGUGUGUGAAUCCUCGAUAUUGCAUGAAAUGCGUUAAGUCGAUAAGAUGACUUAGAUGUAUGUGACUGAUAAGUUGGCAAGAUGUCACACUGGGUCUUUAUGACAUUUGUCAAAAUCAUGUGUGUAUUUCCGCAAGAUUGCAAGUCACUUGGUGCUGGGUCGCGGAAGAGUUUUGUCAAGUCAAGAGACACCCCAUCUCCUUGAGGAGGAUAAGUGUUACGUACUUACAAAACUUCAGAUUAAUGUGCACUGAAAUCAUAGCCUUUUGAAAGGUUAAUUAUUAUCACUGCCCAACAUUCUAGUCUAGCGUUCUGAUUCUCUUUAAUGUACUUAACUGUGCAGUGAAUCUCUACUGAACAUAACCUCAAUUUUCUACCAGUCAUCGAAGCAUAGCAAUGCAUGGGCAUUUCCAGUCUUUCCCUGAAAAAGUUUUUCGUGCAAAUUAUACCUGUGUUGUUAUAAUCUUUGCUAUACUACUGCUAAAAAGAUGCCUUGUGGACACCAUUUUGAAAAAAAAAAUAACGUAAACAAGAAACACUAUUUCUUUAGAUACAUCAGUUGACUCUUACAGUUCUAUAGCAUAAAAUCUGGAUUCUGUGAGUCGGUCUAUCAGUUGCUUAUCCUCAGACAUGUCAUCUUUGUCAUCCAAUGUUUAAUAUUUUGUUGAUGAACUUCACAAUAUUUCAACGCUGCAUCAGGCAACAUUUUUCUAUAAGUGUGACUUUUGUUGCAUUUUAAUGCUGAAAGCUACUCUUAUUUGCAGUGGGAUCUAAUGUAUUUGCAAAUUUCUUAUAAAGAACAUCACGAAGCCAAGAGAAACAUUCUUCAGGUUCAUUUUGUUGAUCUGAAUGACACAACUUUUAAUUUUGACGGCCGCACGUAAUGGCUUGAUACGCAGAGAAAUGAAUCCUUGCAUUAAAUAAUCGGAAUUCGUAGUUCGGAUGGCAUCUGGCUUUGAGUAAACUGGUUAAUGGUUACAGCUAAGCCUUGCUACUUUUGCUACCGAUAGUUUAUAGCUUUUGUUAGCAAUACAAGUAAACAUUUUAAGAGAUAGUCUAUGUUGCAUUGCGCUGGGAAUUCAGGAUUUAGAGUUUAAUAAAACUUUGUUUCUCGGCUAGUCAUUGUUUAAUCAAAACAUUCAGUUUAAAUAUCCUUGCAACAUU